UACGUAGGGUGCAAGCGUUAAUCGGAAUUACUGGGCGUAAAGCGUGCGCAGGCGGUUGUGCAAGACAGAUGUGAAAUCCCCGGGCUCAACCUGGGAAUUGCAUUUGUGACUGCACGGCUAGAGUGUGUCAGAGGGGGGUAGAAUUCCACGUGUAGCAGUGAAAUGCGUAGAGAUGUGGAGGAACACCGAUGGCGAAGGCAGCCCCCCUGGGUCAAGAUUGACGCUCAUGCACGAAAGCGUGGGGAGCAAACAGG
rnacentral:rRNA from 1 species